rnacentral:lncRNA from 1 species
AUUUUCGGCAGCCGAAGGUGCAGCCGAAAAUGCCUGAGUUUCGGCUCUGGAGGGACUUUCGGCCGCCGAACUUGCCGCCGAAAGUGCCCUGUCCAGCCUUCUUUUGCUUGUUUUAUGUGAUUGUUUAGGAUGUUUUAGGGGGGUUUUUUGGGGAGUUUUAGAGAGAUGUUCUUGAGUUAGUUUGGUCCCUCAUUUGAGUCCACCUGUGUAGGAACGGACCAGAGGAACCGAAGAGAUCAGCAGUGAGCACUGUCAGAGUCAGUACAGAGUUAGCCAGAGGUGAGUGGAACUAAACUUAAUCUUUCUAAUGCUUUUAGCAUGUUUCAUGCAUCAUGAUUAUGCAAUAGAUUGAUUGCAUUAGAAUUCACGAUUAUGUGCAUUGCAUUAUUUCUUGUAUUUGCGAACGGACAUAGAGCUUGUUUCAUUAGCCCUCCCAGUAAAGUCCUGAGGAGCCCCGAGAGGGCCGGGCACAGAGUACUUCGGUACUAUUGAUUGUAUAGUAAAGUCCUGAGGAGCUCCUUCGCGGGCCGGGCACUGAGGGAUUUUUGAUUUAGUCCGUUCGGUAUGUG